AAUAGGAUAGCAAGGAUAGCAUAAAGUGACACUUAAAAUCCAAAAAGUCGAGGGCGAAAGCCACUGUGACACCAUUGUUAUGCUCUAUUAGUAAUCUGUAUUAUGUAAAAAUCGUCUGUAAAUACAGCAUGUUUCCUAGCGGAGGUAUACAUAUCAACAUAGUUAUAAAUUACAGUUUGUUAAACCACACACUUAUUUUUUUAAAUAAAAUUAUUCACGACAUAUGAGUGGGCAGACAAUGGAGGUCGACAGACCUGGUGAGAAUUUCUUCUGAGUAGUAUUUUAUUUAGUUGUAAUUCAAUCAAUAAUUUGCUUCUUGAAAUUUAGUAAUGAAUUUCUUGUUUUACUUUAUAAAUUUCAGAUCCUGCCUUUACCUGCCCCCUCCUAUACUGAUGUGGUGUAUGUGGUACUGCUGAGCUUGUAUGUGAUCUGAACCAUUGUAAAGGUUGCAGUUCAAGGGCCUGAGGUGGAAGCAGAAUUUGUGAGGAUUACUACUGCUCCACUUGACCAAUACACUGACCAGCUCAUAAAAGUCUUCAAGAAAAAAGGAGGCGCUGCAGUGAAGAAAAUUAGACAAACUUUGGCCCCAGCCACAAAGAAGCAAACUAUUGAAAAGGGGAGGGAGUGUGUCCUCAGGGCACUCCCUCUUUACCUAAAUGAAGACCCAAGCAUCCUCUUCAAAGAAUAAUUGCUACAGCUACAGCUGUUCAGAGGGAGCUGGAACAAAUUACCCUUGCUAUCUUUACCAUCGAAAGAGCUGAUGCCUCCAGCCGAUGUGGGUAUAACCAUCUAGGGUGUUCUGCAUGACCUGGAAGACAUGGCCUCUGCAUGUGCACUCUUAAUGGGUGGGAUAUAUGAACUGAAUCUCAGUUAACCUCGAGACUUAAAGCUUUCUUUGAAGUACUUCAGAAGCUCUUCCUUCAUCUGGAUGUCAGCAGACUCUUGACCAAGGUAGAGAUGCUCAAGAAUAAAUUGAAUGAAUAAGCCAACCCUUAAUUUGGAUGUUGAAUGUUCUGUCAGAUGGACAGAAGUUUUUCGGAGGCUGAAUGGGAAUAAAAUGGUAAUUUGUUGAAAAUGACAGAUAAAGGGAAAAUUACACUUAAGAGAAAUUUUGAAAAGUUUGUAAACUACUACAAUUUGACAGAUUUUACUCUUGUGUUACAUUUUGUGCAUUGUAAAGGUAAUUGCAAUACAUACUAAGAAUAACGGUAAGU